GCGCAGUCUGCCAGCCUAGAGUCGCCAGCCGUCCCCGAGCGCGGGGUCCCCUCGGUGUCGCACCUUCUGGGCCAAGAGGCGGGACUGGCGCAGCCGCUCCUCGGCGCUCAUCGCCCGCAGACGCUGCUUCAGCUCUGCCCUCAGGCUCCGCUUGGCGCUGCUCACUGCCGCCACCGCCGCCAUCUCUCGGGCGCCCGUGUCCGUCCCGCCUCCGGCUCGCGGCCGCCCCGCCCCGCCCCCGGCUCGCCUCCUGCGGGACCGCGAUGCGGGCGUCGGGGGAGGAGAACCCGGGACGCAGGCCACCCGGCCCUGUGACCAGUUCGGGGCCCGCCGUGUGCUCGCCGUGCAGGGCGGGCUGCGUGCGCCUCCUGUGCAAGCUCUGUGCCUCCAGGGCCUCCGAGGUGGACACCGGGCUUCCCGCGCUUGCCGGAGCUUACCUGGACCAGGAGGAGGGGAAACCAUAGUUCCAAGGAGUAACUCCAUGUGGAGAAAGGCUCUUAAACUCAGUUUACAUCAGUGACACAAAGAGAAAUCAAGGAUAGCAUGAAAACCUCAAUCGUGAACAAUACAUCAAACCCAAAUUGAGAGACCAUCUACAAACACCUGACCAGCAUUCUUCAGAAUUCUCAAGGUCAUGAAAGACAAUGAGAGACCAAGAAACUCAGGAAUUGGAGACUAAGGAGACACAACAGGACAGUUAAAUACACUUCACUAUCCUUGAUGGCCAGAGGAAGGACAUUAGAGGGAAAACUGGUGGAUUUAGAGAAGGCUUGGACAUUAGUUCACGGCGGAGUAUCGACCUCAGUUUCUUCAGAACAGGAAACAGGCCUGGAGAUUGCCCAAGCUCACGAAUGUGGAAGGCUAGUACGUGAAAGAAAUCAGGAUCUCCAAAACCAAAUCUCAACCGCCUGCUCUUGUGACCAGCCGUGUGCUCUCAGCCUGGGACCAUGUGGGACAGAUGCCUGUAUCCUCGUGCUCAGCACUGGACCGCAUAUGGCGUGGGUGCUGGGUGGAUAUCUGUUAAGUCAGCGAGUAAAGGCUGGGUCAUGAGCAAACUCAGUGGGAGAGCAGUUGGCUGAAGCUAAUAAAAUCCCAAGAUGCGGAGGAAGUCCAGGUCAGGAGACCCCUCAUAUUCUUUAACAGAGGAGUAGGGCUAGCUGAGGACAAAACCCAGCUGAUAACCCGCAAACAACCCACACCCAGGACGGGAUAUGUGUGUCAUUCCUCAGGACACUUCCAAAAGUCUUAAUACCUUAGUCCAGGGAAAAGCAAUCUUUACCUUGACAAUGGCAAGGCCUCCGGUAUCUCACAUGUCCUUCUUAGCAUAUGAAAAUUCUUUCAAAAUCUCUCUUUUCCUUACCUCCCCCAACUCUGCAGGUAUAGAAUCAGCCAGCCCUCAUGAGCCCAGGGCAGCUGCUCUUCCUGCCCAUGGGUCCUGUCCCUGUGUUUUAAUAAAACAACCAUUUUGUACCAAA